rnacentral:tRNA from 5 species
CGAGUCGUAGCUUAGAGGUCUAAAGCACCGCCCUGUCACGGCGGGGGACGCCGGUUCAAAUCCGGUCGACUUGAC